UCUUGUCCAGUUGAGUUUGAAAGAAAGAAAAUAUAGCGGUUGGAAGCACAACAUUGAAAACAUUGUUGUUGCCUUUGUCCCUGAGCGGUUGGAGAUGGCGCGAAGAAGAAUCCCAGAGAGAGAGAGAGAGAGAGAGAGAGAGGGAAAGCGUUCUUGUUCAUGGCUUCUCAACAGAGAGGGUUAACCUUCGUGCUCUUCCUCUUCUUUCUUUCUUUCUGAGAUUAACGUGUUUGGCUUUCAACAGAGAGGGGUUUGGUGCCCGAUGACGACGGAUUCUUCUUCGCUUUUCUGAUUUAGGGUUUCCUUUUCCCGGUUGGCGUUGGAUAUAAUGUGGCGUGAACAAGAAUCAGAAAGAGAGAAUUCUAAUUACAUUAUGGACCAUGUUGCCUCUGUCCGUGCUUUUUACAUUUGAGGCUGACCCUUCUUGGAAUCCCUAUAAACGAGAUGGCUAAGAUGACCCUAAAGUUGCCAGAAUUCUAAUUUCGAUUGCAGACCCUUGUUGCCUUUGUCGUUGUCCCUUUUCGGAUGAUGAAUAUGUCCCCGAGAAUGGUAAUUUUGAUUGCUGACCCAUGUUGCCUUUAUCGCUCUCCCUUAAGUCCCAAGAAUGGUAAUUUCGAUUGCGGACCGCCUUUGUCACUGUCCCUUUUCGGAUGAUGAAUAUGUCCCUUAAGUCCCGAUAAUGGUAAUUUCGAUUGCAGACCCAUGUUGCCUUUGUCGCUGUCCCUUUUCGGAUGAUUAAUAUGUCCCUUAAGUCCCGAUAAUGGUAAUUUCGAUUGCCGGCCCUUGUUGCCUUUGUCGCUGUCCCUUUUCGGAUGAUGAAUAUGUCCCUUAAGUCCCGAGAAUGGUAAUUUCGAUUGCCGACCCAUGUUGCCUUUGUCGCUGUCCCUUUCCGGAUGAUGGUUAUGUCCCUUAAGUCCCGAUAAUGGAAAUUUCGAUUGCCGACCCAUGUUGCCUUUGUCGCUGUCCCUUUUCGGAUGAUGAAUAUGUCCCUUAAGUCCCGAUAAUGAUAAUUUCGAUUGACGCUGUCCCUUUUCGGACGAUGAAUAUGUCCCUUAAGUCCCGAUAAUGGUAAUUUCGAUUGCCGACCCUUGUUGCCUUUGUCGCUGUCCCUUUUCGGAUGAUGAAUAUAUCCCUGAAGUCCCGAGAAUGAUAAUUUCUAUUGCUGACCCAUGUUGCCUUUGUCGCUGUCCCUUUUCGGAUGAUGGUAAUUUGAGGGCGCUAAGCCUUCUUGGGGUGCCUAAAGGCUUCCCCUUUUUUGAGUUUGCAAGUCCCUAAAACGAUAUGAUGAAUAUGUCCCUUAAGUCCCGAGAAUUUUAAUUUCAAUUGCGGACCCAUGUUGCCUUUGUCGCUGUCCCUUUUUGGAUGAUGGUAAUUUGAGGGCGCUAAGCCUUCUUGGGGGGCCUGAAGGCUUCCACUUUAUGAGUAUGCAAGUCCCUAAAACGAUAUGAUGAAUAUGUCCCUUAAGUCCCGAGAAUGGUAAUUUCGAUUGCGGACCCAUGUUACCUUUGUCGCUGUCCCUUUUCGGAUGAUGAAUAUGUCCCUUAAGUCCCGAGAAUGGUAAUUUCGAUUGCGGACCCAUGUUACCUUUGUCGCUGUCCCUUUUCGGAUGAUGAAUGUGUCCCUUAAGUCCCGAGAAUGGUUAUUUCAAUUGCCGACCCAUGUUGCCUUUGUUGCUAUCCCUUUUUGGAUGAUGGUAAUUUGAGGGCUAAGCCUUCUUGGGGUGCCUAAAGGCUUCCCCUUUCUGAGUUUUCAAGUCCCUAAAAUGAGAUGGUUAAUUCUGUGAACGAUGUCCCUAAAGUCCCGAGAAUGCUAAUUUCGAUUGUGGACCCUUGUUGCCUUUGUCUCUAAAAUGAGAUGCUUUUUAAAUCUUGAUAAUCAAUUGUACUUAACCAUUCGUGCUUUAUGGUGGUGAUCAUGAUGAUCUUGUGUGGGUGAUAUUGAUUCUUGAAAUUUUUGCUCAUGAGGGGAAAUAGACUGAUGGACUUGCUGCUUAUAUUGUGGACCUUCUGUUUAUUGAUUUUUUUUCUGCUGCGCCAUAAGGUCUUGGUUAUCAUUUUUGCAGUUUUCCCUUAUUUGUUAUCAUUUUUGCAGCAAAUGAGCUUUCUGCUUUGAAAUUAAGUGACUUUGUCUCUCUUAUUAAUCGGUGUACUCAAACUAUAGGCUUUUUUUUUGUUUCCUGCUCAUUUCAUAUACUUCACUGUUAUUCCAUCAUCAUUAUAAUUGUUAUUUUGAAUUUUCACACUUAUUUUCUCUUUUUGGUGUAGUAAUGGAAUUGUGACUUCAUAUUGGUGCUGAAAGUUUACAUUUUGAAUUCGUAACUUGGGGAGUAGUGACUUAUUUUGUGACCAUCAUGGAGAUACAGACUUCUGGCAGGCCAAUUGAGUCCUUGCUAGAGAAAGUCCUUUGUAUGAAUAUUCUGUCAUCUGAUUACUUCAAGGAGCUCUAUCGCUUAAAAACAUACCAUGAAGUUUUUGAUGAGAUCUACAAUCAAGUUGAUCUCGUGGAACCAUGGAUGACGGGGAAUUGUCGUGGUCCUUCAACUUCUUGCUGUCUUCUUUACAAGUUCUUUACAAUGAAUGGGCUAUUGAAACAACCUGAUUCUCCUUACAUAAGAGCGGUCUAUGUCAAGUUUCUUGGUUGUUUGAUUUCUCUAUCUUAGAUACGUUGCUGAUCCAAAGACUCUGUGGAGCUGGUUUGAACCAUAUAUAAAGGAUGAUGAGGUAUGAGGAUAUGGUUAUUAUCUUUAUAGCCCCAGAAGUCUAUCGUCCAAUGACAUUUAUUAGGUUUUUGAUCUAUUUUCUCUUUCUUCUUACUGUGCUCUAAUAAUUAUAUUUGUUUUUUCUUCAUUAUUUGACUUAAAAUAAAUUGACUGUUGACUUUCUUGCAUUAACAUGUACUUCCCCAUGACUCAAAUUGGAUUUUACUGGAACUUUGAUGUCACACACCUUUAAUUUUUUGUAAUAUUCUAUUUUCUACUUGGCUAACCACUAUUUAUAGUUGCUUCAUAUGGAACUAUGCAAAUAGCAUGCCUUGUCAAUAUUUUUUGUGUGCCAGAUGAAGUUUUAAACAAAUCUAUCAAGAUUUUAUUAUUUAUUUUAUAUUUUGUGCGUAAAUGGUCCUUUUUCUAAGAAUAAUACUUUACGUGUUGGGUUUCAGCUUUCUUGAAUUAUCAUCUAUUCUUGUGAUACCAUCUGAAAGUGCUAUGCAAGUUAUUAUUCAUAUUAAAAUUAUGAUCCUUUACUACAGGAAUUUUCUCCUGGAUCUAAUGGACUAAUGACUACAAUGGGUGUAUAUAUCCGUGAUUUGCUCUGUGGACAGACAUGGAUGGCCAAAUGAAGGAUCAGGGAUGUCAGCAACCACGAUAUUGCCAUGAAACCAGCAUAUACAACUGAAGAGUAGCAGUUUGGAUGAGCAAUGUUCAUAGGUGAUUUCUAAUUGCAGAGAUUUCAGACAAGACUUGUAGGCGGAAGUAUGUUGGGGAGAUAGAUUUUGUUCUGUAGCUGGCCACUUACGGCAGCUACAUUGGAGGUCACUAUCUAAGUGUUUGAUUUUCGAACCAAAUAAAUCUCCUCCUCAAAGUAGUUCACCACAUGGCGAAUUGAACUGGUGAGGGUGAGAAACUGUAUCAUUUUAUAAUUGAAAGCAAAAUGAUCUGGUUUAUUGGGUUAAAAGCUACCAAUAUUAUCAUGAAUUUUUUCCACCCAGAGUGUGUUUUUGGACUUGAGUUGAGUGUAAUAUGAGCAAACUCUUGAUGUGAGUGCAAAUGGAUCAAACGUAGCCAAUGAAGCACCACAUAACAUCAAUGUAAUAUUGUGCCUAUGAAAUCACAUGUUUUGCAGAGAUUUAUAUUACAGUAGUUACUCGAUAUUUUUGGAAUAGGCAGGUUGUAGUAAUAUCAAAAUGUAGCACAGAACUCAUUGCAUCAGUGAAUGCCAUGUUAAUCUGGUGAUUUAUGUUA